GAUCCUGGCUCAGGAUGAACGCUAGCUACAGGCUUAACACAUGCAAGUCGAGGGGCAGCAUGGUCUUAGCUUGCUAAGGCCGAUGGCGACCGGCGCACGGGUGAGUAACGCGUAUCCAACCUGCCUUACACUCUUGGACAGCCUUCUGAAAGGGGGAUUAAUACAAGAUGUUAUCAUGGGUAAGCAUUUUCGCAUGAUUAAAGGUUUACCGGUGUAAGAUGGGGAUGCGUUCCAUUAG
rnacentral:rRNA from 1 species